ACUUUCAAAAGCCUUUGGAUCAGAAAACUUCUUAUGAUAGCUUUCUGGAUCAACAGAAAAGUGCAUUUUCCCAAGCACCCAACAUGCAGUAUCCUGCUUCCCAGCAGGUGCCCCAUGUGUCCAAUACUUACCAGCCACCCUCACAAUCUGUACCAUCCCAUGCGUCUCAUACUUACCAAUCACCCUCACAACCUGUUCCAUCCCAUGCGUCUCAUAGCUACCAAUCAACCUCACAACCUGUUCCAUCCCAUGCGUCUCAUAGCUAUCAAUCACCUUCACAACCUGUUCCAUCCCAUGCGUCUCAUAGCUACCAAUCACCCUCACAACCUGUUCCAUCCCAUGCGUCUCAUAGUUACCAAUCACAUUCACAACCUGCUCCAUCUGUAGAUACACGAAGAGUAAAUAAGCUGCAGAUUCCAACAAACCCUAGAAUCACUUCAAAUCUGAACUUGGGUUUACCAAAAACUGAGAAAGAUA
rnacentral:lncRNA from 1 species